AUUUAAUCCAGCGAAAAUUUUAAUUAUAUUUUAUUAAAUGCUGAUGGAUAUACAUAAUUCAAUAAGAAAGAUCUAAAAUAGCGUUAAUAAUUGCAAAUGAAACUAUUAAACAAAAUGAAGAAUUUAAAAAGAUGAUUAAGGAAAAUAUAAGGCCUUCAGAUUGAUGCAUUUCGGCGAAGGGUGUAAUAGUCAAGGCCAUAGGAAUAGAAGUAGAUUUGAUCAUAUCUUGAGUACAAGGAGCGCAAUACAGAGUAGAUCUUAUGAAACGGGGCGAACAAUUCACUUACAUUUUUUUUAAAGAGGGAUGAGAAAAUAGAGAUAUAUAAUAUAAUAAUAUAUUUUUUAAUUUUCAUAAAUUAAAAAAUGCAUUUCUCUAUUUUAAUAAAUUAUUAAUAAAUGGCUUUAUAAAAAAACUUAAAAAGAUUUAAGCUAGAACG